rnacentral:rRNA from 1 species
UACAGGGGGGGCAAGCGUUGUUCGGAAUUACUGGGCGUAAAGGGCUCGUAGGCGGCCAACUAAGUCAGACGUGAAAUCCCUCGGCUUAACCGGGGAACUGCAUCUGAUACUGGAUGGCUUGAGUUCGGGAGAGGGAUGCGGAAUUCCAGGUGUAGCGGUGAAAUGCGUAGAUAUCAGGAGGAACACCGGUGGCGAAGGCGGGUCUCUGGGCCGAUACUGACGCUGAGGAGCGAAAGCGUGGGGAGCGAACAGG